rnacentral:miRNA from 1 species
GCAGACACAUUCCAGCCAAUCAGCAGCAGACCCUCCCUCCCAGACCCUCCCACCUCCUGGACAGCAUCCAUUUUGAAGCUGCAUUCUUAGUGAGCUGUCCAGGAGAUGGGAGGGUCUGGGAGGGAGGGUCUGCUGCUGAUUGGCUGGAAUGUAUCUG